rnacentral:miRNA from 1 species
CAGCUGUAUAUUAGCAUAAAAAGUCCAAAAGUAGUAUCCAACGCGUUUCGUCACUAUGGUGACUUCCUCAGGGAUAUCCCUGAGGAAGUCACCAUAGUGACGAAACGCGUUGGAUACUACUUUUGGAC